GUCUACGGCCGUGCCACCCUGAACAAGCCUGAUCCCAUCUGAUCUCGAAAGCGAAGCAGGGUCGGGCCUGGUUAGUACUUGGAUGGGAGACCACCUAGGAAGGCCAGGUACCGUAGGCG
rnacentral:rRNA from 1 species